rnacentral:rRNA from 1 species
CCCUUAGAUGUUCUGGGCCGCACGCGCGCUACACUGAUGCAUUCAACGAGUCUAAAACCUGCUCUGAUAGGGGUGGGUAAUCUUUUGAAUGUGCAUCGUGAUUGGGAUAGAUGAUUGCAAUUUUUCAUCUUCAACGAGGAAUGCCUAGUAAACGCAAGUCAUCAGCUUGCAUUGAUUACGUCCCUGCCCUUUGUACACACCGCCCGUCGCUCCUACCGAUUGAAUGAUCCGAUGAAUAUCAUGGAUUGAGGAUGCAAGUAGGUUAGCCUAUCUUCAUCUUCGAGAAGUGAAGUAAAUCUUAUCAUUUAGAGGAAGGAGAAGUCGCAACA